rnacentral:misc_RNA from 1 species
GGUGAAGAUACAUGCAGUGGCCACAGGCAAGAAAAACCCAAGAUGUGCAGCUGAUGGAAAUGAGCUGCUUAGAUUUUACUGCACGAGCCUUACGUGCGCCCUUGGUGCACGUGGCUCGUCCAGCUUGUGUGGCUCGGUACCCGGUUGUGGAGUUUGCACUACCAUACGUCACGGUUUCCAAGGAAACAAAACUAGUGGAGUCCGCACAACUGCUAGUAGUGGGCGGGCCCACGAUUGUCUUGGUAGCGGUAUGGCCCGACGCAGGGCCAUGAUCGUGUGUCGGGUCAUUGCUGGUAGAGUCAAGCAGAAUGUGGGCGCUUCUCCCACGAAAGAGGAGGAGAAUUGCUCUGGCUCUGGUUCUGGUUCUGGCUUGUCUGCUACUGGCUCUACCAUAUACAAUUCAGUAGCUGGACAUGUAGGGAUUUACUCAAAUCUCGAGGAAUUAUACGUAUUUAAUCCAAGGGCUAUACUUCCAUGCUUUGUUGUGAUAUACGAAGC